UACGUAGGGUGCAAGCGUUGUCCGGAAUUACUGGGCGUAAAGAGCUCGUAGGUGGUUUGUCGCGUUGUUCGUGAAAACUCACAGCUCAACUGUGGGCGUGCGGGCGAUACGGGCAGACUAGAGUACUGCAGGGGAGACUGGAAUUCCUGGUGUAGCGGUGGAAUGCGCAGAUAUCAGGAGGAACACCGGUGGCGAAGGCGGGUCUCUGGGCAGUAACUGACGCUGGAGGAGCGAAAGCGUGGGGAGCGAACAGG
rnacentral:rRNA from 1 species